rnacentral:rRNA from 1 species
UGGGGAAUUUUGGACAAUGGGCGAAAGCCUGAUCCAGCAAUGCCGCGUGUGUGAAGAAGGCCUUCGGGUUGUAAAGCACUUUUGUCCGGAAAGAAAUCCUUGGCUCUAAUACAGUCGGGGGAUGACGGUACCGGAAGAAUAAGCACCGGCUAACUACGUGCCAGCAGCCGCGGUAAUACGUAGGGUGCAAGCGUUAAUCGGAAUUACUGGGCGUAAAGCGUGCGCAGGCGGUUUGCUAAGACCGAUGUGAAAUCCCCGGGCUCAACCUGGGAACUGCAUUGGUGACUGGCAGGCUAGAGUAUGGCAGAGGGGGGUAGAAUUCCACGUGUAGCAGUGAAAUGCGUAGAGAUGUGGAGGAAUACCGAUGGCGAAGGCAGCCCCCUGGGCCAAUACUGACGCUCAUGCACGAAAGCGUGGGGGAGCAAACAGGAUUAGAUACCCUGGGUAGUCCACGCCCUAAACGAUGUCAACUAGUUGUUGGGGGAUUCAUUUCCUUAGUAACGUAGCUAACGCGUGAAGUUGACCGCCUGGGGAGUAC